ACGCGAUGUAUCUGCGGGAGUUUUCCGCCCCCGAGUACAAACUGUACGAUUCGGUGUCGGACUCGUUUGUGAAGAUUGGCGAAGGAAAGUCAAUUCCGGGGACCGACCAUAAGCUGCAGCUGAAUAACCUUUCUCCAGAGACGGUAUAUGAAGUUAAGAUGCGCGCCAGCA
rnacentral:SRP_RNA from 1 species